GUGCUUACUUCGGCAGCACAUAUAUUAAAAUGGGGAUGAUAUGGAGAUUAGUAUGGCCCCUGCACAAUGAUGACAUGCAAAUUCGUGAAGCAUUGUCAUUUGGC
ensembl:snRNA U6 U6 spliceosomal RNA